rnacentral:rRNA from 1 species
AUUGAACGCUGGCGGCAGGCCUAACACAUGCAAGUCGAACGAGUGGCGGACGGGUGAGUAAUGUCUGGGAAACUGCCCGAUGGAGGGGGAUAACUACUGGAAACGGUCGCUAAUACCGAAUACCAUCGGCUGGGCCCAGAGGGGAUUAGCUCGUAGGGUGGGUAACGGCUCACCUAGGCGCCGAUCCCUGGCUGGUCUGAGAGGAUGACCAGCCACACUGGAACUGAGACACGGUCCAGACUCCUACGGGAGGCAGCAGUGGGGAAUAUUGCACAAUGGGCGCAAGCCUGAUGCAGCCAUGCCGCGUGUAUGAAGAAGGCCUUCGGGUUGUAAAGUACUUUCAGCGAGGAGGCGUUACUCGCAGAAGAAGCACCGGCUAACUCCGUGCCAGCCGCCGCGGUAAUAC